UUGGUGAGGUAAAGGCUCACCAAGCUGACGAUCUCUAGCUGGUUUGAGAGGAUGACCAGCCACACUGGAACUGAGACACGGUCCAGACUCCUACGGGAGGCAGCAGUGGGGAAUAUUGCACAAUGGGGGAAACCCUGAUGCAGCCAUGCCGCGUGAAUGAAGAAGGCUUUCGGGUUGUAAAGUUCUUUCAGCGAUGAGGAAGGGUUUGUAUCUAAUAGGUACAAACAUUGACGUUAGUCGCAGAAGAAGCACCGGCUAACUCCGUGCCAGCAGCCGCGGUAAUACGGAGGGUGCGAGCGUUAAUCGGAAUAACUGGGCGUAAAGGGCACGCAGGCGGUUGUCUAAGUGAGAUGUGAAAGCCCCGAGCUUAACUUGGGAAUUGCAUUUCAGACUGGGCAACUAGAGUCCUCUAGGGAGGGGUAGAAUUCCACGUGUAGCGGUGAAAUGCGUAGAGAUGUGGAGGAAUACCGAAGGCGAAGGCAGCCCCUUGGAGAGAGACUGACGCUGAGGUGCGAAAGCGUGGGU
rnacentral:rRNA from 1 species